AUCUUUUCAAGGAUGUUCACAUCAAAAUCUACUUUGGAAAAUGAGACAGUAUCUCUGUUCAAGAUGGCAGCCCAUGGCCUAAUGAGUGUGGGGACCACCUGAUUAUUCUUCAGGAAGCUAGCAGUAGUUCUUUCACUGCAGUCUCCAGGACAAGAGACAGAUUGUUCUGCAUUAUAAGGAGGGUGCCAGAAAAUUUAAUUAACAUAAGAAUAAAUGCCAAUGGAGGAUGAGAGUGAUGUUGCUAUUCAAAUG